rnacentral:lncRNA from 1 species
UGUUAACGCGAAAAGGCGCAGAUGGAGUAUAUCGUACACGAAGAGCGGCAAGCGUCAGUUGCAAGCCUGCCCUGUCGCAGAGAGCACCAUGGCGUCCGUGGCGGUGGUGCUGGCCGCCCUGCUGAUAGUGGGGAUCGGCGCUCCUGACGCCGCUGAUGCGGCGAGACUGAGACCGCUCUCCGGAUGCUUCAUACACGGGUGUCCUUCCGGUCAAAUUUGCAAGCUGCAGCAGGUGGUCUGCUGCUGCGCGCCAUGCUACCCCAUUCCAACCUGCGUCCCCAUCUUCCCCUGAGGCACCGUCUGCGAUCUCUGCGCCGGGUCACGACCCCGUUCGGAUCGACCUGACUCAACUACCAACGCCAAACUCGACUUCCUGAUUCAACUCGACAUUGCUUCACUGUCGCUACUCCGUCAGCCACCUACCCCGGGCCAAGACCAUGUCAGGCUUCUGUCCACCGCCGGAACACGUGUUCCAGUUCGACGUGCAAUUCGGCGGGUACGACAACGAAGUUAACUCCACCCUGCCUUCCGCGUAUCCAGAGGACGAACAGCACCACCCUCGCCUGUCCGGGUUUGUGCCAUGACUUCAGGUGGCCCCCCCCCCCCCCCUUCAGCCGCCGACAUCAUCGCGUGUGCUUGCCGGGCAGCUUCUCUUGCCGUGGCGGCGCCGGUCGUCGUGGUGGCUUCUUUUGUGGUGGCGGCUUUUCUUGUCGUGGCAGCGUUUACCAUUAAAUGUGCCGAUAGAAUACAUACUUUGACAUUA